CUCUCCACCUGCGUUGGCUGGACCUGUGAGCAGCUCUGCCUUGUGACUCGCUAGGGUCUGGCUGACGGUCAGCUCCUGCAGGAGGUCUGAGGGAGAAAGGAGAAUGCGGUCAGGCCCCUGUUCCCUUCGCUCUUACUGUGAGGUCAUCUCAGGCUGGCUGUCUUUCCACACCUCUUAAGGGCCCAGCAUACCCAACAAAGUUCAGCAGAGGUUGUGGUAGGAGCUAUCUUUGUCUUGUUUCCAGCCUCCACGGGAAAGAGCCACCUGGGGCAAGACGACUGUAAAAAGCCAUGGGACACCUUCUUCAAGCUUCAAGUUCAAGAGAAUGAGAGCCGUCACUCUUCCAGUGGAACACGUGACCUGAUUGAUUAUGUCUUAUUCACACGUCCAGCCCUGAAGCUGUGGUGGCGUCAACUCAUCUUGAAGCACGUGGAUGGGGUUGGAGAGGAGGAU
rnacentral:lncRNA from 1 species